AGUAAUGUAUGGGGAUCUGCCCGAUAGAGGGGGAUAACUACUGGAAACGGUGGCUAAUACCGCAUAAUGUCUACGGACCAAAGCAGGGGCUCUUCGGACCUUGCACUAUCGGAUGAACCCAUAUGGGAUUAGCUAGUAGGUGGGGUAAUGGCUCACCUAGGCGACGAUCCCUAGCUGGUCUGAGAGGAUGACCAGCCACACUGGAACUGAGACACGGUCCAG
rnacentral:rRNA from 1 species